GACUACCGGGGUAUCUAAUCCUGUUUGCUCCCCACGCUUUCGAGCCUCAGCGUCAGUAAUGGGCCAGUGAGUCGCCUUCGCCACUGGUGUUCUUCCGAAUAUCUACGAAUUUCACCUCUACACUCGGAGUUCCACUCACCUCUCCCAUACUCAAGAUAGCCAGUAUCAAAGGCAGUUCCAAGGUUGAGCCCUGGGCUUUCACCUCUGACUAAACUAUCCGCCUACGCUCCCUUUACGCCCAGUAAUUCCGAGCAACGCUAGCCCCCUUCGUAUUACCGCGGCUGCUGGCACGAAGUUAGCCGGGGCUUCUUCUCCGGGUACCGUCAUUAUCGUCCCCGGUGAAAGAAUUUUACAAUCCUAAGACCUUCAUCAUUCACGCGGCAUGGCUGCGUCAGGCUUUCGCCCAUUGCGCAAGAUUCCCUACUGCAGCCCCCCGUAGG
rnacentral:rRNA from 1 species